UACAGAGGGUGCAAGCGUUAAUCGGAUUUACUGGGCGUAAAGCGUGCGUAGGCGGUUCGCUAAGUCGGUUGUGAAAUCCCUGGGCUUAACCUGGGAACUGCAGUCGAUACUGGCGGACUAGAGUACGGUAGAGGGUGGCGGAACUCCGGGUGUAGCGGUGAAAUGCGUAGAUAUCCGGAAGAACACCGAUGGCGAAGGCGGUUCUCUGGGACGGUACUGACGCUGAGACGCGAAAGCGUGGGGAGCGAACAGG
rnacentral:rRNA from 1 species